UCGAGACGGCCCGGGGCGCGCGCGCGGCUGCGAGGGGCAGCGGCGGGGUGGGGAGGGGGCUCUGCCGGGAGGGGGCGGCGGACGGGACCCAGGCGGGAGGUAAAGGGGCGGAUCGCGGCUCCCGUCCUCCGUCCCUCCCGAGCGGGCCGUUUGACAUUGCCGCCCCUCCGGAGCGGGAGGAGCUACCGGUGAGGGCGGGGCUCUCAGGAGAAGGAGAGGGGGCGGGACCGAUCCCCUCCGGUAGCGCCCUCCUAACAGGAACUCCGGUGACGGCCUGUCACGGAGCGACAGUUACCCUUCUUCUGGAGAGAAACGUGGCCUGUGACUUUCUUGUUUUCUUCAUUAACUCAUUGUGGGAUCUGCAAGGAUUGGGAAAUGCUCUGGAGUUAUGAAUAAUACGCUGGUAGAAGAGUUGGGAUGCUAAGUGUUCAAAACAAGAUCAUCAGUGUAUAUGUGUCAUGAGCAAGCAAACACUGCGUUUCUACCCACGUUUCUAGUCAACUCUGAAUUUUUGGAAAAUACAGUUUCUGAGGCCUAACUUACCUGUGGCAAAGCCAUUUCGCACUGAAGGAAUAGAGGCCAGUUCUUUUGGUAACAACUCUGUUUACAAUUUUCCAACUGGUCAGUGGAUCCUCAUAAUGGCUGCCUACGAGGAGUUUGCCAAGCAUCCAUUCCCAAGGACCAUUGAUUGACUGGAAAAACUGCUCUUCAUUGGAAAACAAAAAUUGAAAAGAGCUGAAGAAAGUUCUUCUGUUGCAAUGAUUAUGCUCUUGGUCUAGUGCAGGGUAUCCUACUGUGAGCAAGGAGUCAUGUCAUGUCUGCUGAUGAACAGAAUUUACACAUAAAGUAAAAGAACUGUAAAGAUGUAGUAGUGUGUUUUGCCUUUUAGGCUCUGUUUUAAAUGUCUGCCCUGAAACCUAGUAAUAUCUAUGUUUUGUAGGGCUCUGAAGAACAGUAGUGCAGAUUGGCAGAUGUUUUGAUCUGAUAGGAGCUGAAAUUCUAUUCUUAAACCAUUAAUACUAAAUAGAUCUAAAUUUCCUGCACUUCAGCUGUUUUGCAAGAGAAUUGAUUGUGAUAUCUGAGACAGAAAAAAAAACAAACCUAUGAUGGUAGUUGUGGAAGAUUUUACUUCAGUUUUAGAGAAAAUUAAGAAAUAUUUUUAAACCAAAAGUUUUUUUUAUGCUUGUGGUGGAGGGAAGAGAAAAAUGCCUGUACCAUAAGGAGCAUAUGUGAAAUCAUUAUCAGCAGGAGCAUUCUUGGUGUUUAGCUACUUGGUCAAUCUAAGAACUUGCCUGCAGUAACAGAGUUAAGCAUUUCUUGCUGUGAGUUUUCAAACUGUUUUGAAGAUAGAGUAGCUUGGAUUCUGAUUGGACUGAAUCCAUGACAAAAGAACUGGGACUAUGAGAUGAGAAAAAUUGGUAGAUUUUCCAACAAGGAUUUCUAUCUAAGUGCUGUGAAUUGUUGCCAGAGCACACUUAUGGUGAUGUAUCUGUUGGACUUGUGUCUUUUAUGUCAUGUCCUGCCUAGAAGCCAGGAAGAUGCUGCUGCUACUGACUGUUAGUCAGGAUCAGAGUGAUAGCCUCUUGCAGAAGCACUUUGGCUUACUUAUUGGAUCAAGAAACCAUCUUGGCAGUGUUCUUGGCAGUUUUCUAGGUAUAUUUUUCAAAUAUUUUUUUUUCCUCUAGGAAAGUUAAUAGAUGAGCUCUGAAAAAAAAUUGCUGUGCUUCCUCUAGAGAUCAGGAUGUCUUGGACAUUUGUGUUUUGGUUAUUUAUCAGGAUAUAAUUUCUCUCUAGAAAUGGAUAAAUUGAGAAUACCUGCAGAUUUUCGGUAAUAGGGAAAAGUUGCUGAUGAGUUGGGAAUAUUUUUAUAAGAUCUAUUUUAUAAAAUAUAUUUUUUAUGUUUUAUUUGAAGACAGUAAUUUUAAAGUCAUUAAAAUGUGUAAUUCUUAAGUUCAGCACUUAAGCUUGUAUUUAUCUUUG